CACCGCGGUUAAACGAAUGGCCCCAGUUGACAGACUUACGGCGUAAAGGGUGGUUAGUGGAAAUUUUUAACUAAGGCUGAACACCUUCAUAGCUGUCUAAAGCUCACGAAGGCAGGAAGCACAUCGACGAAAGUGGCCUUAACCAACACGACACCACAAAAGCUAGGGUA
rnacentral:rRNA from 1 species